rnacentral:rRNA from 1 species
AAACUCAAAUGAAUUGACGGGGAGCACCACAACAGGUGGAGCCUGCGGUUUAAUCGGACUCAACGCCGGAAAUCUUACCGGGACCGACAGCAAUAUGAAGGCCAGGCUGAAGACUUUGCCGGAUUAGCUGAGAGGUGGUGCAUGGCCGUCGUCAGUUCGUACUGUGAAGCAUCCUGUUAAGUCAGGCAACGAGCGAGACCCACGCCCACAGUUGCCAGCGUACUCUCUGGAGUGACGGGUACACUGUGGGACCGCCGCUGCUAAAGCGGAGGAAGGAAUGGGCAACGGUAGGUCAGUAUGCCCCGAAUAUCCCGGGCUACACGCGAGCUACAAUGGUUGGUACAAUGGGUAUCUACCCCGAAAGGGGACGGGAAUCUCCUAAAACCAAUCUUAGUUCGGAUUGAGGGCUGCAACUCGCCCUCAUGAAGCUGGAAUCCGUAGUAAUCGCGUUUCAACAGAACGCGGUGAAUACGUCCCUGCUCCUU